rnacentral:lncRNA from 1 species
AUAUUUUGUGAGCUCCUUCGCCUAGCGGAAACCUCCGCUUUUCGGCCGUAAUCCCGUGCUUUACCAACGCAUUCAAUGGAUUCCACCAUGAACCGGGAGCGGGCGAAGACAUGCAGCUUCCAUUUUCGGGGUACACAGUCACGUGCUGAGCAAAGAGGUAUAUAUCACACUCAUUCACAAGCGCAAGGUGCGGCAUCCGCCUGAACGGGGAGAGGAUUUCCCUAAAACAAAGAUAGGCGUGUCAGGAAACAAUGUGAAGUCACCCCUAUUUCGCUGU